ensembl:lncRNA
CACACACACACACACACACACACACACACACACACACACACACACACACACACACACACACACACACACACACACACACACAGACACACACACACACACACACACACAGACACACACACACACACACACACACACACACACACACAGACACAGACACAGACACACACACACACACACACACACACACACACAGACACACACACACACACACACACUGAACUAUGAGCAUAUUGUCUCAUUUCUAUGCAUCUUUGGAGCACAGAAGCUUCAAAGAGCUUACAACAUUUCGGUAGGAGUGUUUAUCAGCGACAUAAGCAGACGUCAUGGAAACAGCUUCUUUCUCGUGAGGAGUAAUGAGUCGGACCCAAACUCCUGCAUCUUCCCAUUAAGAUGCUACAUUAAACCAACACGUGGACGUCAGCGCUGCUCCUGUUUGCUGCAGGCACAGUGUGCAGCCGCUCAGCUCCUAACAGUUUAUUGAUCACUGUUUAAACGCUGUGAGCCGGCUGGCAGCCUCCCCCCCCUCCAUCACUGUCGAGGUGCAGAUGGAAACGGGCCUCCGUGAUUCCUCCCUGAGGAGACGACGCUCGGGGGCUCUGGGGGCUCCAGUAAAUCAGUUUUCUAUUCUGGUUGUGGACCCUGCAGGUCAGCAAACCCACCUUGAACCACCAUGACCAGCGUCAACUCUCCAGCCUGCCUGCUCGCCCGAAACCACUUCUACCGAAGUCUACCGCCGAGUCCAGAACCCACCAAGCCCGCACACAAGCAGAGACUGCCCACGCUUUGGGUUACCGUGGAAACAGCUCCAGGACUGCCGGGUCUCGUGGGAACCAAAGGAUUAUGGGUCAGCAUCGUCCUCGGCUCUUCUUCCUCUUCCUCCAACUUCAAACCAAGCAACCCCGCCGACCAGAGAGCCAAGUAGAUGAAACAAGCACACCGUUCCUCUGCGUUCCUCUGAACGUCCACACUCAAUAACAGGGCGGCGAUCCCCUGGGGACAGGCUCCUCCUCCUCUGAGCUCACUGUAGCAGGCAACGAACCACAGAGCGACCCUCCAGAACCACGAGCAGGGCGUGGCUAAAAAAAAAAAUGGCUCCAGUUCCUCAAACCAAAGCGUGAACUCGUUCCUGAUUGGUUUAUGGUUUUGUUGCUGUUUUCAGGUGUCAGUGAAUAAAACGUGAAACUGGUGAAGUGAUGGUGAUGUUAGAGCAGGGCGCCCGGAUGAAGAGCCCCACACGGCCACAGAAGCUCGUUUCACUUCCUCUUUUAGUUCCUGUGAUAUUUGAGGCCACAUGUGCGAACUGUGACGAGGGCUUUAAUCUAAACGUUCUGACUGCAUGUGUGACGAUUAUCACACUAAUUUCACACGCGUGUUCUUUAAACUGCAUUCAGUGAUGUUUGAUUUACUGUUUUGUGGGCGUCUUCGUUUUCACCUCCUAAAUAAACGGCGCUCGGUCCCUGUGCAUGCUGCAGGCCGGGACCACUUCAGUAUAUGUCAGAGAACAUGACGCAUGCUAAUCUGCAGGCAGUUCAUAGAUGCAGUGACAGGUGUCUACAGGUGUGCGGAGACAGGUAGAUUUACCUGCUGCAUCGGGUUGAUGCUGAUAUUUCAUCACGGCCUCCGGAGUGAGCUUUAUGUCUCAAUCUGCUCCAACAAUGAAAUCAAAUAAAGUGCAACAGCUGAGCGAGCUUUCAUUCAGCAAUAAAGCUACACAACAUGGGGCGCUCAUUUACAAACACCAGUCGAACUGAAGUUUCACACUUUGUUUGGUAGAAAAAAAUCAAAUUGUUGCUUAAAUUUUCACAAAAUGUCAGAAUCUGCACGUCAUGAACAAAAAUUUAAAGCUAAUUUUUCAGGAUUUGUUGGGUUCAUCCUCUGGGGGCCGCGAUGUCAUUUGUAUUUCACCUCUUUCCCCUCCUCGCCGUGUUUGGUCUCAUUCUCUUCAGCUCAGCCUCACGUGUCUGAAUUUACACUGAUUGUUUCACGGACAUGUUGUAGAAACACAACUGAUCUGAAAUCACACAAAAACAUAAAAUCCUCGUAGUAGUUAUAUUUGUUUACUGUUAAAAGCACAAACAUGUUUAGUGAAUGAUUUUCAAAACUUGAAAUGCAAAUAUAAACUGAAAACCUAAGCACAAAGUUUGUAAACAAUAAAGUCAUAAACAAAUAUUUAUCUAAAAACACAGCCAAUGGAUCUGGUGGGUUUAUUGUGCAACAUUUAAAAAUACUACUAUAACUAAAACGAGAGAACAAUCGGGUGUCACACAAAUUAUUUGUGCCAGUAAAACAAUAAAUUGUUGCCACACCUGCAGCCUGACAGCAGGUGCAUCCCUGCUCCUGUUUUCACCUGGAGACAGUGUUUACACUGCAGUCUGUGACAGUCAGUAGUGCCCUCACUGACACACAACACACUAAGCGUGGCUCUCACUGCCGUCACUUCUAAAACUUUCCCCUCUUCCUAAACAACCAAUCCUACUGUUGCCACAUUUUACAUGGUACAUUUUUCCACCAAUAGGAGAGAGGUGGCUUUUUUUCUUUUUUUACUGUUUCCGUGCUGUCCUUAGAAAAUAAAACCGUUUCUUCUAAACGUGACGACGGUAUUCAGA